rnacentral:rRNA from 1 species
CAUCGAUAACCUGCCCUGAAGUGGGGGAUACCCAGCCGAAAGGCUGGCUAAUACCGCAUCAUGUCCCCGGGACAACGCCUGGGGAAGAAAGCAGUAAUGCGCUUUAGGAGGGGUCGAUGUCCGAUUAGCUAGUUGGUGUGGUAACGGCGCACCAAGGCGACGAUCGGUAGCUGGUCUGAGAGGACGAUCAGCCACACUGGAACUGAGACACGGUCCAG